rnacentral:ribozyme from 1 species
UAGUUUCUUCGGUGCCAGUUUCCAGUGUAUCGCCGUUUGGAAUCCCUGCAUUUCCAGCAAACUCUUCUGCUGAAUACUCAGCUUCAAUGUCUUCCUUACCGUCGAACAAUAUGGUUUCCGCGGUGCCAAUAUCUG